CUCUAUUAUAGAGGAUGAAUGACAAGUUUCUGUCAUAGAAAAGAGGAAGAAACAUCUUUCGCAAUAAGUUUGUGCCUUAGCCGAGCAAUUUACAUGCCUUCUCAAACGCCUCCUUUCAUAAUACGUCAAGGUUUAUUUCAUGGAACUAUGAAAUUGUCCUGUAUAAUCUUGGCAUUGCUUACAGGUGAGCAUCAUUUUGUAUUUAAACGUUACCUGGUUUAGC
rnacentral:lncRNA from 1 species